rnacentral:lncRNA from 1 species
GCGGUUCCAUCUUCGCGGUCACAUGCGACCCUCCUCUCUCCCAAAGGCGGCCUUUUCAAGGCCUUCUCCUUGCACCUUGGGGUGUCCGUCCGGCGGGGCGGGGUUGGUGGGGGUCGCAGAGACACCUUGACCACCGCAUCCACAUCUGUGUGCGUGCGUGCAUGCGUUGGCGGCUGUGACCUCGCUCCGUGGCUGUGGGCGGUGGCAGUGACCUCACUCUGCGGCUGCGGUGAACGGUCACAGUUCUGCAGCGGGGAACACCGGCGGGCCUCAAGUCACGCGGCGGCGGCGGGGGGAACCGGGGACCCCGGAAACAGCUGCGGGCCGAGGAAGCCCCGUCUGUGCGCGGCAGAGCCUGUCAUGGCAGCAGAGCCCGCCCGCUUCUCCCGUGCAGGGCCCGGGAAGGCUGCGUACGCGGCGGUAGAGGCACAAGGAGGCAGAGGGACCUCAGCAGGGCCAUGUGCGGGCGGCGGAGGCCGGGUCCCCCCGCAGGGGAGACGGCGGCGAACCGGGAAAGUCCGCGGAGCUGUAAGAGUAACAAGAAGAAUGAAUGCUUCUCUCCUAAAUGCUCCUCAGGGUCAGUUAACAUUCGAGGACGUGGCUGUGGACUUCUCACAGGAGGAAUGGGAAUGUCUUGACUGUGCUCAGAGGGCACUGUACAUGGAUGUGAUGUUGGAGAAUUACAAUAAUCUGUUUUUUGUGGAGAAUCACUGCAUGUGUCCAAAAUUUGAGAACAUGUUGGAUCAAGACCUACAACAUAUUGUCCACAAGCAUGCAAAUAUCCAAGUGAAAUCUUAUGAAUGUCAUGAGCUUGGCAAAGUCAUCCAUGAGUUCACCGGAAGUAUACCUUAUAAAACUAACCUCAGGUCUACAUCUGUUGAAUCAUCAAACCUAAGCAGACACGAAACUGAAAACAACAGAGAACCUUGCAAAUAUAAAAACCAUGUAAACUGUUUCAAUUUGUGCUCUACCAUUAGUCAAAAUCAAGGAAUCAACAUAGGAAAGAAAGAAUACAAUAGUGCAAAGCUUGAUGAUGUUUUUGACUCUAAAGAAAUCCUCAUGUUGAAACAAACCAAAAGUGGAAAGAAACCUUACAAAUGUAGUGAAUGUGCAAAAUGUUUUGCCAAGAAAUACUUUUUUAGAAAACAUCAGAUAACUCAUACAGGAGAGAAACCUUACAAAUGUAGUGAAUGUGACAAAUCCUUUACCCAAAAAGGCAGUCUUAGUAUUCAUCAGAUGCGUCAUGCAGGCAAGAAACCUUACAAAUGUAGUGAAUGUGAGAAAUGUUUCAGUCAAGUUGGUGAUCUUAGAAGACAUCAGAGAAUUCAUACAGGAGAGAAACCUUACAAAUGUAGUGAAUGUGACAAAUGUUUUGCCCAGAAAUGCUCGUUUAGAGCACAUCAGAGAAUUCAUACAGGAGAGAAACCUUACAAAUGUAGUGAAUGUGGCAAAUCCUUUAACCAAAAAAGCAGUCUUAGUAUUCAUCAGAUGCGUCAUACAGGCAAGAAAACUUACAAAUGUAGUGAAUGUAAGAAAUGUUUCAAUCUAGUUGGUGAUCUUAGAAGACAUGAGAGAAUUCAUACAGGAGAGAAACCUUACAAAUGUAAUGAAUGUGACAAAUGGUUUAGGUUUAAAAGCAGCCUUAGAAGUCAUCAGAGAAUUCAUACAGGAGAGAAGCCUUACAAAUGUAGUGAAUGUGAAAAAUACUUUUCCCAUAAAGGCAGUCUUAGUAUUCAUCAGAGAAUUCAUACAGGAGAGAAACCUUACAAAUGUAGUGAGUGUGACAAAUUCUUUACCCAAAAAGGCAGUCUUAAUAUCCACCAGAGAGUUCAUACAGGAGAGAAACCUUACAAAUGUAGUGAAUGUGACAAAUGCUUUACCUAUAAAGGUGAUCUUAGAAAACAUCAGAGAAUUCAUACAGGAGAAAGCACCUUACAAAAGUGAAUGUGACAUAUGCUUUACCCAAAAAUUCUAUCGUCAUCUUCAUUCGAGAAUUCAUAUAGGAGAGAAGCCUUACAAAUAUAAUAAAUGUGACAAAUGCUUUAGCCAAAAACAAUAUUAGCUCUUAUCAGAGAAUGCACACAGUUGACACCUUCACAAAUGAAGUGAAUGAGAAAAACCCGUUUCCAAGGAAGAUCAUCUUAGAAUUCAUCAGAGACUACAUAUAGGAGAAGGAACUUAUAGAUAUAGUAUAGUUCAAAUCCUUCAGUGUUGGUUCACCACUUAAAAUACAUGAAAGAAUGCAUUCAGGAUAAAAACCUUCUGAAUGUGAUAUAUGAGGAAAGGUCUCUACCCAAAUCUCAGACCUAAGAAAAUACCUGGUUAUUUAUAUUCAGAAAAAAAGUGUCCACUGGAAAAACUAUGGCAUGUGCUUUAUUCUAGCGGUAUUGUUGGCAACACUUGAAGCUCCACACUAGAGAAUUAUUAUAUAUGCGAGGAAGUUGGGAAAACAUUUAAAUAAUCCUCAAAUCUUAGGAGCGACCCAGCAUUUAUGCUCAGAGAAAUGGAAAAUACAGCAAUGAAGGAAAUCUUUCAUUAAAAGUUUUUACUUGUUCACUUUUAAAUAUGUCAUGAUGGAGAAGCUAAAAGAAUAUGGAGUUGUAUAAACUUUCCUGGAGACUGAAAUGAUCUAUUUCAAAGAGAAGCUAUGAAAUACAUGCCUCAAAAUAGCUAAUGAAACUGACAGCAUUCUGUAUGUUUAUCUCAAAUGAACACACUCCAAUUAUACUUCUUAAAAGAGGAUUUGACAAACUGAGCCACUAAGAUAAGAUGCUCUUUAUCCUGUUCAGAUGCCUACAGAUAAGCGGUUUGCUUCCAAUGUCCACUACUUAUUAUCUCUUUCUUAUGCUGGUUUUAAGUUUCAGGAUAGCAAUUGUCUUUGAGUCCCUUGUGCUCUCAUUUACUAACUGCUUCCCCUAAGUCCUGUAUGUAACUCCAAUAAAUCUCACUGGUUUAACAAGAUGAUCUUGGCUGUUUCCAUUUUACAAUUGGAAUAGUUAGAUGAAUGUGUGUGUGUGUGUGUGUG